GCUGUGACCUGGCAGGGCAGGUGUGGGUGGCUGACAGGUGCAGUAAAGGGAGGGAAGGACUCGCCUGCUCGGUGACCCUCUCUCAGGGCCUCUCCCUCCCAGCACUUGUCACCCUGUAAGAUGAGUUACUUAUGUGGCGCUCGAGGCAUGAAAGUGACCAUCUCCUGACUUUUCUCAAUAACACAAAGGCCGGCUCUGAGAUUCAGCUCAUGAGGAAGCCAGGUCCAGCCACUUCUGGGCUGUCCUUACAGAAACGCCAUGAGGCCGUCACGAUCCAUGGUGGCCACCCUGCCCUUUCCCUUGCUGAGUCACCAGCAUGUCCCUGCUUCACUGGGGAGGCCUCUGCGAUGAGGUCCUGGUUCCCAGCAGGGACAGACACCCAAACCGUCACCUCCUGCAGCUGAUCCCGAGGGGCUGGGGCCUCACUCCUCCAGUCCCCCACAUUCAACACCGCAAAGCACUCAGAUCAGCUGUUCUCAUCGGAUUCACCUGCAGAGAUUUAAAAACUACUGACCACCGGCUCUCACCUCAGAUUUCCCAGUUUAAUCACCUGGAUGUAGUCUGGGCAUGGGGACUUUCGAAAGUUCCAAGUGAUUCUAACCUGCAGCCAAGAUUGAAGCGACUGCCAGCCCAGUUCCUCUUCACUGGGCACAGACAACAGGCACCUCCCCAGCUACCUGCAGAGCAGGAGCAGUUAACGUCAACAUGGGACGCCAGCCUCCUGCCUGCCCAGAUGCUGUGUCUUUAAAAGCCUUGCUAGGCUGAGGACAGGGGCUGAAGGGCGGCCUGAAGUGGGCAGCGUGGUACCGCUUGCCCAGAGUUUUGAAAACAAAAGCUUCUUCCUGUCCUCACCCAGCAGCAGCCCUGCGAAUGAGGUGAUGUCCAUCUCACAGAAGAGGAAACUGAGGCCCUGCGUCACACAGCUGGCAGGUGAAAGAGCCGUGUGUUUGAGGCAAAGCCCAGUGACUGGCACCAGUAGAAAAGGUGGAGGAGGAGCCUGUGGUGGGGCACCGGCCUUGCCAGGCAGCAUCCAGGAGAACAAGUGCCCUAGGAAUCUGAGACUCGCCAUGGAUGCCAAGAACAGGUUUGAGAUGCCUUUUAGAUAUCCACAAGAGUUUGCCCACCACCAAGUUAGAAGGCACACAGUUGGGAGGACCACCUUCACUUCUGACACCAACUGCAAGUUUGGGGACUUUUAAAACCAUCUUCAUGCUUGCUAAUUCACUAGAAGGACUCGCAGAAACACUGAAAGUUGUUACAUUCAUGUUUUUGGUUUAUUACAAGGAAAGAGUACAGAUUAAAAUAAGCUAACAGAAGAGGCCACAGUAGAGUCCAGAAGUACCCAAGAGGGAGCUUCCAUCGUCCUCUCCCUGUGGAGCCAGGACAGCGUUAGUCUCCUGGGAUCAAGCUGUGACGAUAUGCAUGGAGUGUCGCCAACCAGGGCAGCUCGGGCGAGCCUUGGUGUUGAGAGUUUUUAUUGGGACUCCAUCCCGUAGGCAUGGCUCAUUGCUCACGGGGCUGACCUUAGUUUCCAGUCUCUCUGGUUGUGCUGGUGGCACGUAACUCAAACCCCCCACCCUCAAUCGCAUUGUUAGACUGUUUGAGGGCCUAGGACAAAGCUUGGGGCCCACCAUUUGGAGGCAUCUGAAGAGCCUGAAUUAACAAAGGACGGUGAGCGGUGUCAGCCAGUGAGGUAGGAGGAAACGAGACUGUUUCAGAGAGCCUCUGAGAUAUAUAUACACAUGCCAGAAUAGUUAAGGGUGUUAGAAUCAUAAAUACAAGGGUUUGAAGCAAGAAUAAUGACUAAUAAUUACUAGUAUUUAAAGGAAUGCUUAAUGUGCAUUAAGAUGUGCUUGCAUUGUGCACAAAACUCUAUGAGCUAUCUUCUGUAAAUUCUCCAUUUUAUAAAAAUCACUAACAUUUAGUAAGUGCUUAAUAUGAGUUAAGACUGGUGGUCACAUGACCCACAAGACCCUACUAGGUGUCUUCAUUAAAUUCUCCAUAUUACAGAACAGGCAUUCAGUCUUAAGAGGGUGAAGUAACUGGACUAGGUCCAAACCAGAUUUACUCCACGUGUGUCCUACUCAGAGCCUUUGCAGUUAGCACAAGGCGACACGGCUUCAGUGUGGACACUGGGGAUGGAGGGAGCAAUGAGGGGUCCUCAGUGGAGACGAGGUGUCUUCUCCAGGGCUGCCGUGUG
ensembl:lncRNA